AUUAAACGCUGGCGGCAGGCCUAACACCUGCAAGUCGAACGAGUGGCGGACGUGUGAGUAAUGUCUUGGACACCACCCUCUGGAGGUGUAUAACUACGGGAAACGGUAGCUAAUACCACACACCAUCGGAUGCGCCCAAGUGGGAUUAGCUAGUUGGUGGGGUAAAGGCUCACCGACACGACGACUUCUAGCUGGUCUGCGAGGAUGACCAGCCACACUGGAACUGAGACAAGGGCCAGACUCCUACGGGAGGCAGCAGUGGGGAAUAUUGCGCAAUGGGCGCAAGCCUGUCGCAGCCAUGCCGUGUGUAUGAAGAAGGCCUUCGGGUUGUAAAGUACUUUCAGUGGUUAGGCGUUAAUUGCAGAAGAAGCACCGGCUAACUCCGUGCCAGCAGCCGCGGUAAUAC
rnacentral:rRNA from 1 species